UAGGGAAUCUUCCGCAAUGGGCGAAAGCCUGACGGAGCAACGCCGCGUGAGUGAUGAAGGUCUUCGGAUCGUAAAACUCUGUUAUUAGGGAAGAACAAAUGUGUAAGUAACUAUGCACGUCUUGACGGUACCUAAUCAGAAAGCCACGGCUAACUACGUGCCAGCAGCCGCGGUAAUACGUAGGUGGCAAGCGUUAUCCGGAAUUCUUGGGCGUAAAGCGCGCGUAGGCGGUUUUUUAAGUCUGAUGUGAAAGCCCACGGCUCAACCGUUGAGGGUCAUUGGAAACUGGAAAACUUGAGUGCAGAAGAGGAAAGUGGAAUUCCAUGUGUAGCGGUGAAAUGCGCAGAGAUAUGGAGGAACACCAGUGGCGAAGGCGACUUUCUGGUCUGUAACUGACGCUGAUGUGCGAAAGCGUGGGGAUCAAACAGG
rnacentral:rRNA from 1 species